UACGUAGGGUGCGAGCGUUAAUCGGAAUUACUGGGCGUAAAGCGUGCGCAGGCGGUGAUGUAAGACAGGUGUGAAAUCCCCGGGCUUAACCUGGGAACUGCAUUUGUGACUGCAUCGCUGGAGUGCGGCAGAGGGGGAUGGAAUUCCGCGUGUAGCAGUGAAAUGCGUAGAUAUGCGGAGGAACACCGAUGGCGAAGGCAAUCCCCUGGGCCUGCACUGACGCUGAGGUGCGAAAGCGUGGGGAGCAAACAGG
rnacentral:rRNA from 1 species